UAGCCUUUCUGAAAUCACAUUGUUUGUAUGACUCGCUGAACAAUGUGUCUCAGAUUGGUGU
rnacentral:pre_miRNA from 1 species